UGGCGACAUGAGACGGGUUGCUAAGGUUGUUGUGGUUGGGUGAGUUGUGGUCGGGUAAGUCAUGGUUAGACGUCAACUGUUCGGCAGCUUUAUGGUCAGAGGUCGAUGUGUGGUCAGGAGUGGAGUGGUUGCGAAGUGUGUGUUCGGGCGAUGUGUGGGCGGGGAUUGUGUGGUUGUGCAACGAGCAGUGGUCAGACAAGUUGUGAAGUGGUGAGGAAUUAAGGAUAGGUGUCGAGUGAAUGUCGGAGUUGAGGAAUAAAGGAUAAAACUUUUCUACAGAUUUAAACAGAAGAACAUAGAGUUG
rnacentral:lncRNA from 1 species